UCCCCUGACAGUGUACGAUAAACCUAAG
rnacentral:piRNA from 1 species